AAGUCGUAACAAGGUUUCCGUAGGUGAACCUGCGGAAGGAUCAUUACCAAUUUUACCCCAAAGAAGGAGGAUCAAGGCGUGGGCAAGGGCAACUGCGCCCGCCCUUUUUCCUUCUUUUUUUUCCAACCAACCUUUGAUUGUGAACCAUGAACAAAACCAUACAAAGCCGUCAUCUUGUCAUCAUGUAUCAUGAUGAUGAUGAUGAUGAUGUGUUUUGUAAAUUUAUUAAACCCCAACCAAAUCGACGACCCGCAUGAUGCACACACACGUCCGUGUGUGUGUGUGGGUGCGUGCGUUGAGAAAAGCAACACUUGUCCGAGACAAAUGUUGAAAAUUCUAUAUACAACUUUUAACGGCGGAUCUCUUGGCUCGU
rnacentral:misc_RNA from 1 species